CAUGCAAGUCGAACGAGAAAGCAUCUUCGGAUGUAAGUACAGUGGCGGACGGGUGAGUAAUACAUAGGAAUCUACCCAAUGGUGGGGGAUAGCUCGGGGAAACUCGAAUUAAUACCGCAUAAUCUCUACGGAGUAAAGGGGGCUUCGGCUCUCGCCAUCGGAUGAGCCUAUGCAGGAUUAGCUUGUUGGUGAGGUAAUGGCUUACCAAGGCAACGAUCCUUAGCUGGUUUGAGAGGAUGACCAGCCACAUCGGGACUGAGACACGGCCCGGACUUCUACGGAAGGCAGCAGUAGGGAAUAUUGGACAAUGAGCGAAAGCUUGAUCCAGCCAUGCCGCGUGUGUGAUGACGGCCUUCGGGUUGUAAAGCACUUUAGGUAAUGAGGAAAAAUUAGAUGUUAAUACCACCUAAUCAUGACGUUAAUUACAGAAUAAGCACCGGCUAAAUCCGUGCCAGCAGCCGCGGUAAUACGGAUGGUGCAAGCGUUAAUCGGAAUUACUGGGCGUAAAGCGCGCGUAGGUGGCACACCAAGUUAGAUGUGAAAUCCCAGGGCUUAACCUUGGAACUGCAUCUAAAACUGGUGAGCUAGAGUACUAGAGAG
rnacentral:rRNA from 1 species